rnacentral:rRNA from 1 species
UACGUAGGGACCGAGCGUUGUCCGGAUUCAUUGGGCGUAAAGAGCUCGUAGGCGGCUGCUCAAGUCGAAUGUGAAACCUCGAGGCUUAACCUCGAGCCUGCAUUCGAUACUGGGCGGCUAGAGUCUGGUAGGGGGAUCUGGAAUUCCUGGUGUAGCGGUGGAAUGCGCAGAUAUCAGGAGGAACACCGGUGGCGAAGGCGGGUCUCUGGGACGGUACUGACGCUGAGACGCGAAAGCGUGGGGAGCGAACAGG